UCGACGGUUGUACUAUGCUUGGUACACUGGGCCAUGAUGCCUAGUCUGUCCCAAGCCCACCUGUAUGGGGUGCCACUCGGUAGACUACUAGGAUGACCUACAAACACCAGAAACUAGUUGCAACUCCUGGACACGGGUCUAGGUGAUGAAUAAGUCGGGAGAUUCAAUUAAAGAUCCCAAUGUGCAGUAGUAGCUAGUCUUGGAAAACAUAGACAACACUCAGUUCUUGAGGACGAUCUCAAUGAUACAACCCACCAUGUUCUCCUACAUGGCUCUCAUCUCUACCUUUACCAAAUCGUGUUGACACACUUAGUUUUCAUCAUUAGAACAUGAUGACAUUCAUUCCAAACCAUCACCCAGAUGGAUCAGACCGGACACGACUCUAAGCAUAACUAGCGUGGCAGGGAAAUGCAUAACAUGGCUCAAGCAUGUACGAGGUAUCCUAGGUUGCUUAGUUCAGCUAUUUACUAUGACAAUGACAGUUCAUGCAGAGGAAUGGGUUCAACUACCGUAAUAGGUAACAGUUCAAGCAUAUUGUCCUAAUGCAUUAAAUGAGAGCAAGAUCGAGAUAGUUGGAUUGUAUCAGAGUGCUCAAGGGUGUUUUCUUGCCUGAUAAAACGUCAACAAGUUACUGCUUCUCAGAUGGAUACUCGAUCAUACCCUUCGGAAUAGGACCUAACACGAAGAUACAACCAUCAAAGGGGAACAAAUAAAUACACAUCAAAUGCAACAAUAUUAUGCAUGAAUAUGACAUGGCAAUAUGAUAUGGUUUGGCAUAAUGCACCUAGCAACAGAUUUAAAUGAAGUAGGUUUGAACCCAAGGUUAAAAUUCAACUCUAUAUGUGAGAUUACAUAUUUCAGUUUGAACAAAAUGUCCAAAUUAUCCUAUUUAGGUUUCUCUAUAAUGCAUGCAAAUAGUACAUAUGGAUUCUUUGGAUUUUUCUGAUAAUUUUUCAUAUAUAAUUUAUUUCAUUUGGAUUUAUUGUUGAAUUUCUGUGAAGUUUACAAGUUUUAUCAAUUUUUGCAAUUAUUUAGAAUCGAGAAAUGCAUUUACUGUAUCAGUUAUACGUUAUCAUGAUGUCUAGUGGUCAAUUGGUGGAUGGGCCCCACAUGUCAUAGCCACAGUUUUCUAAGGUUUUUUAAUUAAACCUAACAUCAGUUAAUAGAACCGGUCCCAUAUGUGAUUGGUUCAGGGCUAAUUAGUUGGGUGAUUAGCUCCCAGCUAAUCACCUGACGACGUGGCCCCACCCGCUAGUGGCAUAGGCGGCGGUGUUUGUCGCUGGCAACCUCUGGUCGCCAUGGUGUCCGUGCUACCGGUAAUGCCAGCGGCGGCAGAGACCAUUGGGGCGUAGCCCCUGCUCGCCCGCAUCCGAAGCAGCAGGUUGGGGGCGCAGGGAAUGCCGGAGAUGACGAUAAAGAUGCCGGAGGACGCGGUCGGAGCUCAGCCAGGUCGAGCUCGAGACCACGGUAUCGGGAGGAAGUAGCAGAGGGCGGCUACGGCAUCGUGCGAGAUCACUGAGCAUGCUGGUGUGAUCGGCAGCGAGCCUAGGGGCACUAGCCAUGGCUGCAAGAUGGUCGGCGGCGUGAAGCUCAUGCGCAUGGCAGCUAGUAGGGUUAGGACAGGGGAAUGACGAUGGGGCUAGGGGGAUAAGAACCGGGGGCUCAUACCGGAUGCGCAGACAUUGACGGUGUGAUCGGAGAGGACCCGGACG
rnacentral:lncRNA from 1 species